rnacentral:lncRNA from 1 species
CGGGUGGGACCGUGAACUCCAGAUUUCUUAAUUCUAUUGGUAGCUAGCUGUUUGAGAUGUAUGGUCAGGGUAACUAUGCAACUCAGAGUGGUCAAAAUGAUAACAUGCCUAGGCCUCAAAUGCAGCAGUGGUCUCCUGCCUCUGCCCCUCCUCCUCCUCCUCCUCCUCCACCUGCUGCUCAGGCCUCACGUCCACCUAUAUUUCCACAUGGUCAUCCACCAGGACCACCCCAAGUUGGUCAGCAUGGCCCUCCUUCAUAUCAGCAUGCCCAUCAUGUUGUAGGUCACCCUUGUCCACCUUUUCCAGUUCCAACAAGUGGCAGCAAUUCUAGUCAAUUUUAUCCGCUACCCCCUCCUCCUCCUCCUCCUCCAUCUGCACAAGUUCAUGGAAGCACCCCAAUUCUGCAAUCUCACCAAGUCCCUGUGCAGCAUUCCCAGUGGAAUCCCAGUAUGCAUCAUGUUCCACCUUCAAUAGCCCCAACUGCUCCUAGAGUUCUUCCACCUCCUCCACCACUAAGUCAAAUGCCUUAUAGAGGUGCUAUUCAUCAGUCAUCACCAGACAAUAUGCAAGUUUUUCUUCAUAAUCUUCCUCCACCGCCACCACCACCACC